AAGUGGGCCAUUUUUGGUAAGAAGAACUGGCGAUGCGGGAUGAACAGGAAGCCGGGUUACGGUGCCGGAUUGCGCGCUAACCCAGAACCCACAAAGGUGUUGGUCGAUUAAGACAGCAGGACGGUAGUCAUGGAAGUCAAAAUCCGCGAAGGAGUGUGUAACAACUCAGCUGCCGAAUCAACUAGACCCGAAAAUGGAUGGCGCUGAAGAGCGCGACCUACACCUGGCCAUAUUCAAACGAGAACUUUGAAGGCCGAAGAGGGGAAAUAUUCCAUGUGAACGACCCUUGUACAUGGGUUAGCCGAUCCUAAGGGACGGGGGAGGCCCAUCAUAGGCCGCGUCCGUGCGCGAGCUCUGAAAGGGAAUCUGGUUAAAAUUCCCUAGGAGGGAUGUGGCGGCUGACGGUGACGUUAGGGACUCUGGAGACGCCGGCGGGGGCCCCGUGGAGAGUUAUCUUUUCUGCUUAACCUCCCGCCCACCCUGGAAAUGGCUCAGCCAGAGGUAGGUCCAACAGCCGGAAGAGCACCGACCGUCGCGCGGUAUCCGGGGCGCCCUGGCGGCCCAUGAAAAUCCAAAGGAUCGAGUGCCGCCCAUGCCCGGUCGCACUCAUAACCGCUUCAGGUCUCCAAGGUGAACAGCCUCUGGCUGAUGGAAUAAUGUAGGCAAGGGAAGUCGGCAAAACGGAUCCAUAACUUCGGGAAAAGGAUUGGCUCUGAGGGCUGGGCACGUGGGUCCCGACCCAGAACCUAUCGGUUGUCGGCGGACUGCUCGAGCUGCGUCUGCGGCGAGAGCGGACCGCCGUGUGGCGGCCAGGGGACAGAACCGGAACGUCCCGCGCGCCACUCCUACGGCGCGGUGGACUUCCUCGGGCAUCGAACAUCCGACUCAGAACUUGUACGGACAAGGGGAAUCCGACUGUUUAAUUAAAACAAAGCAUUGCGAUGGUCCCCGUAGAUGCUCACGCAAUGUGAUUUCUGCCCAGUGCUCUGAAUGUCAAAGUCAAGAAAUUCAACCAAGCGCUGGUAAACGGCGGGAGUGACUAUGACUCUCUUAAGGUAGCCAAAUGCCUCGUUAUCUAAUUAGUGACGCACAUGAAUGGAUUAAAGAGAUUCCCACUGUCCCUAUCUACUAUCCAGCAAACCCACAGCCAAGGGAACGGGCUUGUCGGAAUCAGCGGGGAAAGAAGACCCUGUUGAGCUUGACUCUAGUCCGACUUUGUGAAAUGACUUGAGAGGUGUAGGAUAAGUGGGAUCCCU
rnacentral:rRNA from 1 species